GGAUAACAGCAGAGCAUAAUUAAUAAUAAUAAUAUAAUAUAUAAAAGUAAUAAAAGUAAUCAAAUGGUUACUCUUCAAAAAUAAACAGUUAAAUAUUUCACAAUAGAGUCAUUGUGUGUGUGUGUGUGUGUGUGUGUGUGUGUGUGGUGUGUGUGUACCUAACACAGAGCCAAAGGCUUCAUAUACAGUAUUGUUGGGGGAUUCUAACCCCCAACAUUCUAACCUCUUGGUUUUUUUUAAUCCUUUUAAGAGGCCUCCUCUUACUUUGUUCUAAUCGCCUUUGGGACAUCUAUGAGUCUCUUUGUCAAAAAAGGCCCAGAAGUCUGAGCUUAAAGAUAUAGAAGUGGGGAGAAUCCCCCACCACUGUAAGCAGCAAGCGUUGAUUUUAUUUAAUGGGAGUCACAUUGUGCUGUCUUGCUGCGUGUAUACCCAGUAAUCUACAGGUUAUAACUCAAUAAACCAGGGAGGAGAGGGGAAGGGAAAGUACAAGCCCUUCUUGGAAAAAAAGUACAAACUGGUGUUACGCCACAUGCUAAAUGGGGCAGCACCAGGGACCAGGAUCAAACGUGGAGAAGGGGUCAUCUUCUGCUCCCCCGUCUACCAUUGCAGUCACAGCAGAGGCUUUCCCUGAUGGGGGCUGGCAUGAGUGCACUUAGAGACAGCCUUGCCAGGGCUCUUUGUAGCAACUGUACCCCUGGUAAAAGUGAGCCCAUGAUACCCAGGCUUACAUGAAGGGGAGGACCUAUCUCUCUCUUCCUAUACACAGUGGCAGCAUCCCAGAAAUGCACGGCAGACAAGCUGCAGAGCUGUCUGCCCUAGACUGGAGGAAGAGGCUCUGUUCCAAGCCCAUUUCGGUGGUAGCCACCAGUGCAGCAUUCCUGCGGACCUCAGUCACACUGCAGCCAGAAGCUAAAGGACAACGUCUAUACAAACAGAAGGUCUUGAGCCCUGUGACAGAGGCGUGAUAGGGAAGCAGACUGUGUUCUUUCCUGUCCAAGGCAAGGAGCUGGUGGGGCCCCUACUCCUGCUCCCGGCCCUGAGACCUCAACACAUCCGAACACAACUCCCCCCACCACCUCCUCACCCCAACUCCACUCCCCAUAAGGGCAGAUUCCUCCACUCAUCACCAGGCUACCCAAGGGCUAGCCAGCUUUUAUUCUUUAGUGCCACCUACUGGUAUGGAGACCAAACUGCACCACCAAAUAAAAAGCCUGCAAGAAGGGCACAGUGCUAGCAUAGGAGACAAGCUUUCUAAGACCUUCACAUUCCCAUCCCUGCAGAAGAUAGUGUGUCAAUAUGUUUCAGUAUAGUGUGUUGUAUACCCAAUACGUCACUCCAACAAGCAGCAUUUGAAAGAACCACUGCAUAAAAGCUAUCCAUAACCAAGCAAGCCAUACAGAGACUUGGUCCCCUGAAAGCAUUCAGAAAUGAAACCAAAUGGUCACACACAACAUACAACACAGUCAUACCUUCUGGGGAAAAAUAAAUUUUAAAAUUCUCAGCCAAACAAUAGCAAAUUUAAAAGUAAGAAGUGACAGCUUCUUUAGCUGAGAAGGAAUCACUACAAGAACUCUAGCAGUACAAAAAGACAGUAUUCUGACACACAAAAAAAAAUCACACUAGCUUUCUAGCAAUGGAUCCUUACCAACAUGAAAAUUCUGAAAUGACAGAAGACUCAAAGUAUGGAUUGUAAAGAAGCUCAAUGAGAUCCAAGAGAAAGUUAAAAACAAAACAUAAAGAAAUCAGAAAAUCAAUUAAACACAUAUACGUACACACACACACACACACACACACACACACACACACACACAUAUAUGAGACAGAGUCUUGCUCUGUCACCCAUGAUGGAGUGCAGUGGCAUGAUCUCAGCUCACCGCAACCUCCACCUCCUGGAUUCAAGAAAUUCUCCUGCCUCAGCCUUCCUAGUAACUGGGAUCAUAGGCUUCCGCCACCACACCUGGCUAGUUUUUGUAUUUUUACUAGAGACAGGGUUUCACCAUUUUGGCCACUCUGGUCUCAAACUCCUAGACACAAAUGAUCUACCUGCCUUGGCCUCCCAAAGUGCUGGGAUUAUAGGCAUUAGCCACUGCGUCUGACUGAGGUGGCUAUAUUUAAAACAAACAAAGCAUCUUAAAAUAAAAAAUUUGCUAGAGUAAUUUCAAAAUACAGUUGAAAACUUGAUUUACUAGACUAAAUCAAGCAGAAGAAUUUUAGAGCUUGAAGACCAGUCCUUUGAAUUAACUCAGAUAAAAAUAAAUAAAAUAUGUAUGUAUCUUCAGGUGAAUAAAACCUUCAAGAAAUAAGGGAUUAUGUAAAGUGACCAAACCUAUGACUUAUAGGCAUUUCUAAGACAGGAGAAGAAGAAAAAGUUACCAAUUUGGAAAAGAUAUUUAAGGCAAUAAUUCAGGAAAUGUAUCUGAUCUUGCUAGAGUGGUAGACAUCCAGCUACAAGAAUUUCAGAAAACACCUGCAAGAUACUAAAUAAGAUGAAUAUUACCAAGGCAUAUAGACAUCAGACCAUCCAAGAUCAUUGCUGAAGAAAAAAUUUUAAAGGCAGCUAGAUAAAAAGGUCACAUCAUCUAUAAAGAAAAUCCCAUCAGACUAACAGUAGAUUUCUCAAGAGAAGUUUUGCACAUCAGAAGACAUUGAGAGCCUAUCUUUAGCCUUCUUAAGGAAGGAAAGAUGUCAAUCAAGAAUUUUAUAUCCUAAUAAACUAAGCUUCUAAAAAAACAGAAAGUCGUUCCCAGACAAGUAAGUGCCGUGGGAAUUCAUCACCACUACACCUAGCCUACAGUAAAUGCUCAAAAUAGUUCUAAACAUAGAAACAAAAAGACAAUACUCACUACCAUAAAAGCACACAUACAUGUGAAGUUCACAGAUUCCAUAAAACAGUUACACAAUUGAGACUACAAAGCAACCAGCUAAGAACACUAUGACAGAAACAAACCUCACAUAUCAAUAUUAAUCUUGGAUAUAAACAGCCUAAAUAGUUCACUUGAAAGAUACACAUUGGUAACUCGGAUUUAAAAAAUAAGACCCAACCAUCUGAUGCCUGCAAGACACCCACUUAAUGUAUAAAGACACCCACAGGCCCAAAGUAAAGGGGUGAAAAAUAAGCUGUCACUCAAAUGAAAAUCAAAAAACAGCAGGGGGUGCUAUUCUUAGAUAAGACUUCAAUUAGAAAAGAAGACUUAACUAUCUUAAAUAUAUACACACCCAACUCUGGAGCACCCAGAUUUAUAAAACAAAUUCUUCUAGACCUCAGAAAAGUAUAGACGGCCAUACAAAAAUAACGAAGGACUUCAACAUCCCACUGACAGCACCAGACAGAUCAUCAAGGCAGAAAACUAACAAACUCUGGAUUUAUACUGGACUCUUGACCAAAUGGAUCUAAUAAACAUCUACAGAACAUGCCACCCAGCAACUGCAGAAUAUAUGUUUUUCUUGUAUGCAUAUAAAAAUUCUCUAAAAUGAACCAUAUCCUUAACUUUAAAACAAGUCUUAAUAAAUUCAAAAAAUGAAAUCAUAUUAAGUAUCUUCUCAGAUCACAAUGGAUUAAAAUCAGACAUCAUUACCAAAAGGAAUUCUCAAAACCACACGAGUAUGUGGAAAGUAAACAACUUGCUCCUGAAAGGCUUUUCAAUAAACAAUGAAAUUAAGACAGAAAUCAAAAACAUUUUUGAAAUAAAUGAAAACAGAGACACAACAUACCAAAACCUCAGGGACACAGAAAAAGCAGUGUUAAGAGAGAGGUUUAUAGCAUUUCAUGUCUUCAUCAAAAAGACAGAGAGAUCUCAAAUUAGCAACCUAACAUGACACAUCAAGAAACUAUGAAAACAACAAAAAACUCAAAGCUAGCAGAAGAAAAGAAAUAACAAAGAUUAAAGCAGGACUUAAUAACAUUGAGACAAAAAAAAAUCAUACAAAGGAUCAAUGAAAUGAAGCUCAUUCUUUGAAGGAAUAAACAAAACUGAUAGACCACUAGCUAGAUUAACCAUGUUAAAAGGAGAGAAGAUUCAAAUAAAUAGAAUCAGAACUAAUAAAGUUGACAUUACAACUGAUUUCACAGAAAUUAAAAAGAUCAUCAGAGACCAUGAUGAACAUUUCUAUGCACACAAACUAGAAAUUCUAGAGGAAAUGAGUAAACUCCUGAAGACAUACAAUCUUCCCAGAUUGAAUCAGGAAGAAACAGCAAUCCUGAACAGAUUGAUAAGAGUAAUAAAAUUGAAUCUGUGAUUUAAAUUUUUCCUAUAGGAAAAAAAAAUAAAGCCCAGGACAAGAUGGAUUCACAGCCAAAUGUUAUCAAAUGUAAAAAGAAAUGCUGGUACCAAUAUUACUGAAACUAUUCCAAAAAUCAAGGAAGAGAGAUUCCUUCCUAACUCAUUCUAUGAAAUCAGCAUCAUCCUGAUACCCAAAUCUAACAAGGACAUAACAGAGAAAGAAAGCUACAGGUUGAUAUCAUCUUUGGUAAAUAUAUACAUAAAGUUCCUCAACAAAAUGCCAGAAAACUGAAUCCAACAGCACAUCAAAAGAUAAUUCAAGUGAUACAAGGAUGGUUCAAUAUAUGCAAAUCAAUUAAUGUGAUUCACCACAUAAACAGAAUUAAAAAUGAAAAUUAUAUGAUCAUCCCAAUAAAUACAGAAAAGGCAUUUGAUAAAAUCUAGUAUCCUCUCAUGAAAAAAAAAUACUCAACUAAAUAGACAUCAAAGGAACAUACCUCAAAAUAAUAUGAGCCAUAUCUGACAAAUCCCCAGCCAACAUCCAAAAUGAUAAAAAGUUGAAAUUAUUCUCCCUAAGAACUGGAACAACACAAGGAUGCUCACUCUCACCCUGGCUAUUCAAAACAGCACUGAAAGUCCUAGCCUGAGAAAUCAGGCAAGAUAAAGAAAUAAAAGGCAUCCCAGCAGGAAAAGAGGCAGUCAAAUGAUCUGUUUGCUGAUGACAUGAUUUUAUACCUAGAAAACCCUAAAGAUUUCUUCAAUACUCUUAGAUUUGAUAAACAAUUUCAGUAAAGUUUUAGGAUACAAAGUUAACAUUCAAAAUCAAUUACAUUUCUAUACACCAACACUCAAGCUGAAAACCAAAUCAAGAACUCAACGCCAUUUAUAGUAACGCCACAAAAAAUAUACCUAGAAAUACAUUUAACCAAGGAAGUGAAAGGUCUCUACAAGGAGAACUACAAAACUGAUGAAAGAAAUGGUAGAUGACACAGACAAAUGAGAAAACACCCCAUGUACAAUGGAUAGGAAGAAUGAAUAGCGUCAAAGUGACAUACCGCCCAAAGCAAUCUAGAGAUUCAGCACAAUUUCUAUCAAAUUAACAAUGUAAUUUUCAGAGAAUUAGAAAAAAUAAUCCUAAAGUACAUAUGAACCAAAAAGAGACCAAAUAGCUGAAGCAAUCCUAGGCAAAAGAAACAGAGCUGGAGCCGUUACAUUACCUCACUUUAAACUAUAGUACAAGGCUAUAACAACCAAAACAGCAUGGUGCUGGUAAAAAUCGAAAUAUAGAUCAAGGCCGGGCAUGGUGGCUCAAGCCUGUAAUCCCGGCACUUUGGGAGGCCGAGGCGGGUGAAUCACGAGGUCAACAGAUCAAGACCAUCCUGGUCAACAUGGUGAAACCCCGUCUCUACUAAAAAUACAAAAAAUUAGCUGGGCAUGGUGGUGCGUGCCUGUAAUCCCAGCUACUCAGAAGGCUUAGGCAGGAGAAUUGCCUGAACCCAGGAUGCAGAGGCUGUGAUGAGCUGAGAUCGCGCCAUUGCACUCCAGCCUGGGUAACAAGAGCAAAACUCCGUCUCAAAAAAAAAAAAGAAAAGAAAGAAAUAUAGAUCAAAUGGAACAGAAGAGAGAACGCAGAAAUAAAGCCACAUACAUACAACCAACUUUAUCUUUGGCAAAGUCAACAAAAAUAGGUAAUGGAGAAAGGACGCAAACGGUACUGGGAAAACUACAUAGCUAUGUGCAGAAGAAUGAAAAUGGACCCCAUAUCUCUCACUAUAUACAAAAAUUAACACAAUAUGGACUAAAGGUUUAAAUGUAAGACCUGAAACUAUAAAAAUCCUAGAAAAAAAAACUAGGAAAAAUUCUUCUAGACAUUGUCCUGGGUAAAGAAUUUAUGACUAAGACCUCAAAAGCAAAUGCAACAAAAACAAAAACAGACAAAUAAACUUAAUCAACUAAAGAGUUUCUGCACAACAAAAGAAACAAUAAAGUAAGCAGACAAUCUUACUUAAAAUGUAAAAAGGGAGACCAUAUUUGCAAACUAUGCAUCUAACAAAAGACUAAUAUCUAGAAUCUAUAAUGAACUCAAAUGAAUUAAAAAAAAACUAUUAAAAAGUGACAUAGUAGACACGUCCCAAAAGAAGACAUACAAGUGGCCAACAAAUAUAUGAAAAAAACAUCAACAUCACUAAGCAUCAGAGAAAUGCAAAUUAAAAUCAGAAUGAGAUACCAUUUCACAACCACUCAGAAUGGCUAUUAUCAAAAAGUCAUAAAAUAAAAGAUGUUGGCAAGGAAGCAGAGAAAGGGAAUACUUAUACACUGGUGGUAUGAGUGUAAAUUAGUUCAUCUCCGAUGGAAAACAGUAUAGAGCUAUCUCAAAGGAAGAAAAAUAAAACCGCCAUUUGACCCAGGAAUCUCACCACUGGGUGUCUACCCAAAUAAAAGGAAUCAUUCUAUCAAAAAGAUACCUGCACUUGUAUAUUUCUCACAGCACUAUUCACAAUAGCAAAGAUAUGGAAUCAGCCUACGUGUCCGUCAACAGAUGAUUAGAUAAAGAAAAUGUGGUAUCUAUUCACCAUGACAUGCCAUGCAGCCAUAGAAAAGAAUGAAAUCAGAUCCUUUGCAGCAACAUGGAUAGAGAAUGGGGGCCUUUAAGUGAACUAACUCAGAAACAGAAAAUCAAAUACUGUGUGUUCUUACUUAUAAGUGGGAGCUAAACAAUGGGUACACAUGAACACAGAGAUGGAAACAGUAGAAACCGGGAACUCCAAAAUGGGGGAAGGUGCGAGGGGGAUGAGGGCUAAGAAGGUACCUAGUGUACAGUGUUCACUACUUGGAUGGAGGAUUCACUACAUAUCCAUGUAACAAACCUGCAUAUGUACCCCCUGAACCUACAUAAAACAAAAUAACAAACUUGGGAGAUACAUGGACAGAGAACCCGCUUUUGCAUAAAGUCACUGACAUUUCUGUAUGUUUGUCUCCCUGUUCCACAACUGUGAAAAUCAUUGUUUGUCUCACCUUCAGCAGAUGGGAGCUUCUUGGGCAGAGAUACAAAAUCUGAUACAUUGCUUGGGCUUGGCAUAUAAUUUAGUGCUAAAUAACUCCCUCUACCCUCACACUGGUUCAAGAGGUACUGAAUUGAGGCCAAGCAUUUUCAGUGUCUGGCCUUGAUUCUUCUUCAAAGGUCCUCUAGUCAAGCCGGCUUCACACAUGUCUCAGAUGCCAAUGGAUGAGUUAUUUUGCCUAGAACACUCAGUUUGGCCCUGGGAGGGGCUGGUUUCAUAAGGUCCCCUCCUCUGUCCCAGUCCUUUUCUACCAGUGGGCAGAAAAUUGGUCCUGUAUCCCAGUGUCCACAGGGCUGAGCUAUUGAAGCUGCUCAAGAGCGGGCAUUCAAUAUAUGUCAAGCUUCCCAGAGGGCAGCCAGGCCCUGAGGGGUCUGCAGCCCGGAUCUGGAAGCUGGUUUGGUUAUGGAACUGACUGGUUCCCUCUCUCCACAGCAGUCCCAUUGUUCUGCCCCCAUUCGCUUUCCUCUUUGCCCAAGUGAGGAGGCAGAAUCGGCUCAGCGUUUGGGAGGCUCUUGUCUCUGGCUCCCACACCCACCCACCAAGGCAGAAAGAGGUUGGAAAGCAGGAGCUCAGCUUCAGGUGCUUCUGGUCUCUAGCUACAGGAAACUGCCUCCCUAACCCUUUCUCAUAAAGAGACUGCCCAGUUGAUGGCACAACACAUGAAUACAAAGUGUUUCUACGGUAUGAAUCAGGGAGGAAAACGGUCUUCUCUUUCCACCCAAGAAACAAAAUGAUACAAACCAAGAAGAAGAACCCUUUUGGACAAAAGGAAGAAAAAAAAAGGUUUAGAUAAGCAAGAAGUGGUGAAGCUCUUUAUUUUCUGUAAAUCAUCAUGAUGUCAAUUUCAAGACCCACCCAACUGGGAGCAAGAGAAAUUCUUUCUUAGAAGAUUUGGACUGGGAUCUUGGGGCCUGCACCUGCACACACUGCCCCUCGCCCUCUGGCAGGACUGCCCUAGGUCUUUUCUGCCCAAGCCCACUGUGCUGUCCUCUCUUUUCAGGAGGCUACACACAGGCCCUCUGUGUGGGACUCCAGGCUUCUCUCUGUCCUGUCCCCAACCUGAAAGGAAAGUCUCUCUUUCCCAUCACUGCAUUCCAAAUCACUCUUCUCCUUGUCAAACCAAAACUGGUGAGCCUGGCUUUUGAAACAACCAGGAAUACUCCUCCCAUUAUAUUUCUCCCUAGAGGAAAUGAAGCCAAAAUCUUGGAUCUGCUUGAGUCAAGACAAGAGUAAAGGAGGAAGUAGAGGGAGAGGAGAGAAAAAUAGACUGUGUAUUAUUCAAUCUGAAAUCACUUGCUUUCAGAAGGAGUUACAAUUUCUGUUGUAGCUGGUGACCAGUAGAGCCAAUCUUCUGUUUUAGUUUGGCUUAGAGUUUGUAAUUUGUUUUAGUCAUUUUAAAGAAUGCCCCCUUCACAGAAAAUGUCUUAUAACAAAGUAAUCCUGGCUGGACAUGGUGGCUCACCCCUAUAAUCUCAAAACUUGGGAGGCCGAGGCAGGCAGAUCACAAGGUCAGGAGUUCGAGACCAGCCUGACCAACAUGGUGAAACCUCAUCUCUACUAAAAAAAAAAAAUCAAAAAUUAGCUGGGCGUGGUGAUGUGCACCUGUAAUCCCAGCUACUGAGGAGGCUGAGACAGGAGAAUCCCUUGAACCCAGGAGGCAGAGGUUUUCAGUGAGCCAAGAUUGCAACUCUAGCCUGGGCAACAGAGUGAGACUCCAUCUCAAAACAAACCACAAAGUAAUCCCAAAUGAGGAGAUAUAUUUGCAGUAUUCUCUGGGCAAACAGAUCUAUCUUAAAUAUUAAUCAGAAUACUUAAUUAAGCAGAAUUAUUCUUUGGAGCCACUCAGGUUUCUCUGCUACCUAACAAGUCCUAUACCUUCUUUAAGAUGCUCUGUCUUACAGGAAGCCUGCCUUGACUGACACCAUACAAACUUAUCCUCACACUUUCUUAAUUCCUAUCACUUUUGUAAUAACUUCUUGUACUUUUGAACCCAAUCAUAUACAGCCUUACUGCUGCCUUUUUACCUCCCAAGAGCACAUUGCUCAAAGCUACCUAACUCUACAGUGCAAAACUUUGAGGGCAGUGAACAUGACCUAGUUGUUCCAUCAUUUUCCUAGGGCCUCCUAUAUAAUAGGGAUCCAUAAAUAUUUAUUCAAUGAAUGAAUGGCUUAUACAAUCCUAACAAGUUGCCAUUGCCAUAAGCUAUUUCUCCUUUUUUCCUCAGCAAUAAUUCAGUCAAAAAAAAUGUUUAGGGUUCAUAUUCACUCAUGGAAAUAAUGAAAUGGCCUGUUACUUUUGUAUGAAAUCAAAUAACUGAAGAACAAAAUGUUCUUUAAGGCAUUGAUUAAUGUUCUAUAUCAAAUACUGAAAUGUGCAGCCAUAAAUUAUGCUGGCAUCAUGUGUAUUGCUAUUUCUUACAUUUGCAGCUAAGGCUGUUGAUGCUAGAAUGUUAAAGAAGGUUCUUUAUUUCAAAAUUAAUUCAUAUCUCCUUGAGGUCCUGUGGUUGUUCUUUCUUCAAGCAUUUGCAAAACAAUUCAAAAGAGCCAUUGAUAUAGGCAUUUUACAGACAACAGCAUUGAUUAUUAUAUUGGAAAAUAUUUUAAUGUUAUCACAUUUCAAAUGAGGAAAAAUCCUUACUUAUCCUGCAUGAUUCCAAAUAAUGUAUAAUGACCUUUAAAAUUCAUUUAAUAAACUGGAGUCUUCCUAAAUUGUAUGACCAUUUUUUUAGUUUUAGACUCUUACGUGUUUUUAAAUUUAUUUCUAAGAACAAGCCACCGAAAACUUGAAAUUUAUUCAAGUUUACUUCACACAAAGACCAUGUAUAGAUGCUGACCUGUGUGCCACUUCAAGUCCAUAGAGCCAGGUGUGCACGGUAUUAUAAAGCUGGAAUAGUUUGAAGUGUGUCUGCAUCACCCUGGCUUUUUAAGCUGAUGCACAUUCAUAGAGGUGACCAGCUAAAAAGCUGCUGUGGUUGGUAUUCUGUCUUCAGAAAUCUUCCAACAUGCUUUCCAUUCGUCUGGACUGCUAUCCUUUUCCUGGACUCCUCUCGCACACUGCAUCCUUCCGAACUCCCCUCUAGCUCACCCCAAAUCUGGGCUCCCUUCUGCUCCCACUCUCUGCAGAGCCCCUUUGCUCAACACCAUGGUUUUGGAUUUGCUCUUUAUUCACUGAAUAUCUUCCAAGCUCCUGCCAUGUCUGUGCACUGUGCCAAGCCCAUGAAAUGAAUGAGAGAAAGAGAGUCCCCUUUAGCAACUCUCAAUGUGGGAAAGAUGACAAACGUCAAAAACUGGGUGACCGCUGUUACCAAGGGAUCAUUGGAAGGCCGUCUAAUCCGGUCCUGGAGCGACACAAAGGCUUCUAGGAAGCUGAUCCCCUUGUGGAACGGCAGCCAAGAAAUAGCACAUGCAAGACCCCUCUAGGGGCUCUCAGAGCUGACUGGGGAGAAACUAUAGGGGAUGGAGCCCCACAGAGCAGCUAGGGCAGGGCCAGAUAAACAUUGUUUUAUGGUCAUUGUUAUGAUUUAGUCCUAUGAGAAUAAGCAAGAAGCCCUUUCUAAUACAAUUAUUUUAUAUCUAGGUCUUUUGAGUUUUCUAAGAAAUACAGGCUCAUUUACUGUCAUUUUGGAAAAUUAUUUUUUGAUGGUCAACAAAGUCUCAGAUUACAUCGCUGUUGUUCUCUAAGUGACUAAUGCUACUUAAAUCUAAAUACUUUACCCUGAUGAGAAAAGGUGAAAAGGCAAAUAAUAUCUUAGUACUAUUAUGAAAAGAAUUCUGACUUCAUAGACUCCCUGAAAGAAUCUCAGAGUACUACUUGGAUCACUAGACCAUAUUUUGAGAACUGCUAAUGGGGAGUAUAAUCUUAAAAUACAUUUUAAGAAUGUGCCUGGAUUAGUAGGGAAGGAAUUCUGUGACUGAUGAAUGAUGCCUGCCUUGGGCACAGGAGCAAUGCAUAAUCUCAUAUCUCCUAAGUAUAUAGACACUCAAAUUCUAUCUACAGUAAUACAAUUGGUUUUUAAAUAAGCAUUCCAUUAUCUAUACAUCCAAAUGAAAGCUGUUCUUCAAAGUAGUUGUCUUUACAAUAUAGUUAUUUCAACAAUUAUUGCAGUUCACUGUGAUUUAACUAUUGGAGUUCACUGUAAAUACAAAAUAUAAAUCAAACACAUUACUUUAUAGGCAAACUUGGUUUUGACCAAAAUGAUACUUAGGAGUUGGAUAAGUUACUUAUACUGCCAGUUGUGACUCCAAAUGACUUCCACUUCCUGGACAAAUUAAAUCUGCCUUGAAGCAUGCAAAUGUGUGAUGAACAAGGUAAUAAGAUUACCCCACCAAGGCUGGGCAUGGUGGCUCACAACUGAAAUCUCAGCAUUUUGGGAGGCUGAGGUAUGUGGAUCACUGGAGGUCAGGAGUUCGAGACCAGCCUGACCAACAUGGUGAAAUCCUAGGUCCACUAAAAAUACAAAAAAGUUAGCCGGGCAUAGUGGCGCAUGCCUGUAGUCACAGCUUUUCAGGAGGCUGAGGAGGGAGAAUCACUUGAACCCAGGAGACAGAGGUUACAGUGAGCUGAGAUCGCACCAUUGCACUACAGCCUGGGCAAUGAGAGCAAAACUGUCAAAAAAAAAAAAAAAAGGGGAGGGAUUAUCCCAAUAAUUGGAGUUUCUAUAAUGUAUCAGGUACCCUGUUGAGUGCUGAAGAUGGAAAUGAAAGCCACAACCUCUGCCCUGAGGCACUUAUAAUAUGCAUGGAAAGACAAGGAAACUAGCAGUUGAAAUCCAGCAUAAGCAGCAUUAUCAUUGAGGGGAGCUCAAGUUGUGUUGAAAUCAGCUAACUCUGAGGGGAUGGAGAGAAGUAGAGAAAGACUUCCUGGAACUAUCUCAUCCCCUGAUUUCUGAAGACUUGAAAUAGUCAUGUAGUAGUGGAAUGGGGGAAGUGGCAUAUUAGUGAGGAGGACUUCUGGAGGGACAGCAGGUGCAAAGACAUGGAGACAGAAGAACCCAUGGGCCAUUGUGGCAGCUUGCAAGUAACUCAGAAUGUUGGCAGCGGAAACUGGCACAAAAGGCAGGAAUGCUCACAGAGCCUGAUAGGCCCACGCUGUUGGGUUUUAUCCUGAAGGUAAAGAAGUUGCGCUGACCUAUUUGCAUUUUAGAAAGGUCACUCUGAGCUCCUACCAUGCACUAUGCACUGUGCCAGGAAAGCAAUAAAAAUAUGAGCUGUAUCUGUCUUUGCCCAGCUCAUGACAAGCAGUUGCAUUGGCUUAACCUGGGCUAAGGUCUUGGGCUUCAACCACCAUGUAGGCUGCUUGCACUUGCUCUGACCCACAGUGGGGAAUGUACCUUUGAAGUCAUGACUGCCAGGUCUCCAUACGCAAGCCUAGAGCCUGAAAGUCUGAAGCCCUGCUUGCCUCAGCUGAUGUCUCCCACCCGCCGCCUGCAUUCGCCAUUCUUCCUAAUCACCCGGUGGUGGAGCUUCCGCAGACAAGCCCCUCACCCAACCCUGCCAUCUUAACUGUUCUUAUGAUAAUGUACAUACCUCUCACCCAAGCCUGCCAUUGUAACUGAACUUGUGGGCAUGUAUACUCCCUUGCCCCUACCCCCACCACUGUAACUGAACUUACUCUGCAACACCCCCAUCCCCCAAAAAAACUACCCAAACCUAUAAAACCAACUCCCACUGCCCUUUGCUAAUGUUCUUUUCCGCCUUAGCCCACCUGCACCCAGGUGAAAAAACAGCCAUGUUGCUCACACAAAGCCUGUUUGGAAGUUCUCUUCAUUCAAAGCAAGAGUUUUUCAACAUUUGGCGCCGGAAACCCGGGACAGGGGAACUCCUAUGGGAGACCAAACCCCCGACCCUGUUCUUGUGCUCCCUCCGUGAAGAGAUCUACCUACCAACCGGGGGUCAUCAGACCAGCCCACAGGCGCACACCACUGGCUAUUUUGCUACAUGGUCAAGUGAGAGACUCAAGUUUGGAGCUGAUUAACUCGGGUUGGAGGUUGUCUUCUCUCUGAGCCUCGACGUUUUCAUUUGUAAAAUGAAGACACUCAACUUACAGUUGCAUUUGUGAAGGUAAAUGGGACGUUUAUAAACUGUCCAAGAGAGUACCUGGUAAAUAACAUUGCUCAGAAAUGCUCAUAAUUUUAUCUCUAGUCAAUAUUAAUAAGCUCAUGGCUGGUAGACACAUAGCAAGGGCAAAACCAAACACCGCAUGAAAUGUCGGCAUCCAAGGGGUUGUUCAUUUUAUACUGGAAGACCUGUCACGAUGUUGAAACUUAGUCUUUCACCAAGAAAAUGUGAUUUAUCAUGCUGGUGUAGUCCCAGCAAUGUGCAAUCAAGAUCAGGUUAAAAUAGAGAAAUGAAAUUCAAUGUGCAGCAACCAUCCUGGGUAUGUUUUGUUUUGUUUUGUUUUGUUUUGUUUUGAGAAGGAGUUUUGCUCUUGUUACCCAGGCUGGAGUGCAAUGGCGUGAUCUCAGCUCACCGCAACCUCCACCUCCUGGGUGCAAGCAAUUCUCCUGCCUCAGCCUCCCGAGUAGCUGGGACUACAGGUGCACGCCACCAUGCUCGGCUAAUUUUUUUUGUAUGUUUAGUAGAGACCUGGUUUCACAAUGUUGACCAAAAUGGUCUCAAUCUCUUGACCUCAUGAUCCACCUGCCUCGGCCUCCCAAAGUGCUGGGAUUAUAGGGGUGAGUCACCGCGCCCGGCCCAUCCUGGGUUUUUUAAGGUUUCUCUUCAUGGAUUGCUUUGCGCUCCUCCUCCUGCAAGACAGAGUGGGUUUCCACAGGCCCAUGAAUGUCAGAAAUAAGUGUAAGCUUGGGGAAGCACUUAUCCUGCCAUCAGGACAAAGUAUCAGUGGUCCAGAGCAGAGCUCCCAUCCCAUGCUCUAUUAGGAACCACGCUCAGCCCCACAAAAGAAAGGAAAACAGGAGAGACAUUGGCUGGAUCUUCCAGAAGGUCUUUGUUGCAAUUUUCUUCGUCAUUGAAAAAAAAAUUACAUCAUCAAAUAAAGACAAUAGCAGCACAGCUUA